ACAAGUGUGUAUCUCAUCUUUAAUGCGGUUUAAAGGGUACCUAGGACGGUAAAUCAAGYUAUUAAGNUGAUNNGGGACUAAUUUUCUAGAGUUUAAUGAAAGAAAGUCGAAUNUCUGGAGUAAAGAAACAAUAUUUCGAUACCAGAGAGACGGGUAACGGCGUAGGCAACUUUCUAUGUAAAAACUGACGUUGAGGGACGAAGCCCUGGGUAGCGAUAAGGAUUAGAUACCCUAGUAGUCCAGGGAGACAAUGAUGAGUGCCAUAAACUAGAUAUAUUANUUUAUAAAUGAAAGUGUAAGCAUUCCACCUCAUGAAUAAGGCGGCAACGCAUAAAUUGAAAUCAUUAGACCGUUUCUGAAACCAGUAGUGAAGUAUGUUAUUUAAUUCGAAUGAUCCGCGNNUAACCUUACCACGUUUUGUAUNCUAUUUAAUUNUUCCAANUGCUGCACGGCUGUCUUUAGUUAAUGUC
rnacentral:rRNA from 1 species